rnacentral:rRNA from 1 species
UGGGGAAUUUUGGACAAUGGGCGAAAGCCUGAUCCAGCAAUGCCGCGUGUGUGAAGAAGGCCUUCGGGUUGUAAAGCACUUUUGUCCGGAAAGAAAUCCUUGGCUCUAAUACAGUCGGGGGAUGACGGUACCGGAAGAAUAAGCACCGGCUAACUACGUGCCAGCAGCCGCGGUAAUACGUAGGGUGCAAGCGUUAAUCGGAAUUACUGGGCGUAAAGCGUGCGCAGGCGGUUUGCUAAGACCGAUGUGAAAUCCCCGGGCUCAACCUGGGGAACUGCAUUGGUGACUGGCAGGCUAGAGUAUGGCAGAGGGGGGUAGAAUUCCACGUGUAGCAGUGAAAUGCGUAGAGAUGUGGAGGAAUACCGAUGGCGAAGGCAGCCCCCUGGGCCAAAUACUGACGCUCAUGCACGAAAGCGUGGGGAGCAAACAGGAUUAGAUACCCUGGGUAGUCCACGCCCUAAACGAUGUCAACUAGUUGUGGGGAUUCAUUUCCUUAGUAACGUAGCUAACGCGUGAAGUUGACCGCCUGGGGAGUACGGUCGCAAGAUUAAAACUCAAAGGAAUUGACGGGGU